GAUGAAGAACGCAGCGAAAUGCGAUAGGUAGUGUGAAUUGCAGAUGUACGUGAAUCAUCGAAUCUUUGAACGCAAAUUGCACUCUCUGGUAUUCCGGGGAGUAUGCCUGUUUGAGGGUCGUCAAAAAUAAACAUCGAUUUUUUAUUGCUUAUCUAUUAAGUAAUGUUUUUAUCGGAUUUGAGCUUUCUUUAUAUAAGUUUUUAUAAAGUAGCUUAAAAUUUUUUUUUUGGUAUGAUCAAAAAGCGUAUUUUAUAUAAUCAUUUAUGAUUAAAAAACGCUUGAAAUAUGUACCAUCAUUACGUAAUACGUUUGACUUCGUAUCUAGUUCAUUCGUAUACAAAAUUUUCAAUUUUAGACCUCAAAUCAGGUAAGAAUACCCGCUGAACUUAAGCAUAUCAAUAAGCGGAGGA
rnacentral:misc_RNA from 1 species